GGUCUGUGGGGGAACUCCUGGGAGGCCGGUGGACGGGAGUGGAGGUGGGAAAGGGUCCAGGCGCUGAGGUCUGAGCACCCCUCGAACGGGAGGGCACUCAGUGAAUGGGCACUCAUGUUUGGCAAUGAGCUGCUUUGAGAGUGCAGGAACCCCUUUGGAAAAUGUCCCUUUCAGAGACCACUAAGGACUCCUGAAGGAGGAAGGUGAGUGAGGGGCCAGGCAGGAGGGCCUGCCAGCGGGGAGGGUCAGGGCCCUGAGGCUCUGUGACCUAGAAAAGGUGGUAAAGAAUUGUGUGCACCCACCUUGCACCCCCAGGGCUGGGCGUUGGGCAUUGGGCGUUGGGCGUUGGUGGCGUUUCAUUGAUUCUAACUUCAAAUCCAGGCUUCAGAGCCAUUGUGUGAUUUAUCAUCUGGGCUAGGUCAAGAUCACAUCGCUGAGAAGUGGCUGGAUUGGGAUUCAAACCAGCUCCACCUGACUCCAGCACCGGCUGUUCACUUGACCCUGUCCACUGUUCAGGGAAGAAUCUCACCAGCUCCUGGGCCUCAGUUUCCCCAUCUACAGAUGGUGAAACUCACAGGAGGUGAGGCCAAAUACUCACCGAGGUCCCUUCCUCUCUGGCAGAGGGAGCAAGAGAUGAUACGCCCGCCCUCCCAGGACCAAUAGGUGUGGAGUGUGAUUGUGUGGAGAACAGUGCUGGCACCGGGCAUGUGCGGCACAGAGCAGGUGCUCAGUAAACAUCAGCAGGAGGCAUGGUGAGUGAGGAGCCGUGUGAAGGAGGCAGGUGCUGAGGGGCUGGGGGCUG
rnacentral:lncRNA from 1 species